rnacentral:lncRNA from 1 species
GUUUUUAUGUCAUGUUAAAUUUAUUUUAUAGAAUUUUUAAGAGAGAUCAAGGUUAUUUUGACCUGAAAUUUUUUUUUUAGUUAGAUACAUUGGGAAAACAUUAAGGUUAAUUUUUAUGAUUAAAAAAACAACUGGUCUCUUGAAAUAAUAAUGUCCUCACUAUGUAGGGCGUUACCGGAUAACGAUUUCUGCUAAAGGAUGGACGAGUUUCGUGACGAAAAUUCUCUAUGUGGGUGUAGAGUAGACGAACGAAUUUUUCCUCUUCCCCCCUGUCUUUUCAACUGAGUUCGUCCGCAUUAGUUAGCGGUCAUCAACCCAUGUUAAUUUCAAAUGGUCAUUUCUGUUGAUCAAGCGUUUAAGAAUGGAUUCGCUUUGGCUGGAAUUAAUUCUUUUCAUAUGCAGUUACACAUGAAUUGUAAAAAACUGGAAUUGGAGACGGAAAAAAAACUUUAUGAUGUCACGACAGUUUCAAGGUCAUUGGUUUAGAUAAUUGGGAUUAUUGAUAUCAAUAGACAUUCGACGUUACGGUGAUUGUUUUGCGUCUUCAAGGACAUUAGACACUAGAAGUGGGAUCGGAGGUCGAACUCGUUUAAUCUUCAGACUCAAUCCAACUACUCCUUUCUGUUCUUUACUCGCGUUUGACCCAUUUCCUGCACCCUGCUGACCUAUAUCCGUUGGCCCUGUUACAUUGAAGUUUUCCCAUUUCUCCGUCCGGAGGGUUUAAAAAAUACUAAGAAUAUCAAAUGUUGAUCGCGCCUAGUUAGGUGAUUCCGACAUGUUUUGAUUAAAUCAAACAGAAAAAAAAAAAAAAUAUUAUCGACAUUAUUCAUAUCAUAAUCCAUAUAGGAGGAAAAAAAUCUUCAAGAUUUAAUUUGAUUAUGUUCUCCAAAUCAUAUUUCUUAAGAUUUGAUUGUAGAUUUUGUAUUUUUGACGAAAUCCGAAUUCGUGAUUGUCGAAAAGAUUUCCUUUUCCUCUUUAGAAAACCUGCUUUCUUAAUAAAAUUCUUGUGUGUCCGUGUAAGUUCGUACGUGUUUGUCGUAUCCAGUUUUUAUGAAAGUUUUCAGGUACAGAGAUGAUGUACACAACGUUGACUUAAUUUUUAGUGUGUCACGGGUUUCGACCUCGACCGACGAUAAAUAUAAAAUGGCCGUCAUUGUAGAUAUUUCGUCGCCAUGACUACCCGACGGGUGUGUCUCAACCCCCCAUCGGGAAAAGGGGAAUUCGAUCGAUCGAAACGUUUAAAAAAAAUAACGUUAGCUGACGUAUAGAAUUGAGAAGUGAAGGUCAGUUUCGUUAUCAGCUCAAAUAAAUCACCCCCACAUGAAAAAUUCGUUCUGUAUUUUCUGUAGAGAAAUAUAUAUAUUUUUAAUAUUUAUGUAUGCUGCACGUAAGAUAUUUUUCUUUGAAAAUUUAACCAGUCUAACCACUCGACCGGAAGAGAGUCGAACAGGUGUUCUACCAGUUUUCGGUUGCUUUUUAACCUUCCUUAGUUUCGUUACUCUUUGCAGCUGUAAUUUUGUUUUGUUUGUUUUUUUUUUUAUGAUGUAGCUUCAUCGAUUGCUACGUUAAGCCGCACACGAUCGUUGUUUUUCUCGAACUUCGGAUACGCUUGGCUGGUCGGGGAAAGGUAAUGUUGUGAUGACGUAAAGUUGAAACCAUCCGGCGAAUCCGAUGAACUUCUCGAUAUCGAUAACCGCAUGCGAUAGUCGUUAUAAAAAAUUUGUCAAGGUCUCAUCCCCUAUUCUCUCUUAAAAAUGGCAUUCCAAAUUUGGUGAAAUGCACUUGCUCAAGGUAGUAUUAUAAUAAUUUAUCACGAUUGGGCAGAUUUACUCAUCCGGUUAAUCUGUUAGUCAUCGACCAGUCACGUGACAAUGUCCACUAAAGUCGCGUUUAUAUUUUAAUUCUGGGCGUAACAUUAUUAUUGAUUUAUAAUGAUUUCAUUGAUUCGGCUACUGAUGAUAUCUGAAACCAUAAUUAUUAAUUUGAUAAUUUUCAUUAAUUCACACAAUGCUAGAUGAUAAUUAAAAUCAUAUCCAGUAAGAUAAAUGCUCUCUCCCAUCCACGUAGUCUUCUCAGUUAAAAAAAUAAUAA